AAAAUUAAAAGCCCAACCUGAAAACGGCUUUCGCUCAGAAAAGUCAAUAACGACUGUUCUCGCGGCGGAGCUGUUCCUUACCGGCUCAGCUCAGAUCCUUAUCACGCCUUAUACAGAUGGUACAAAUCUUCAACUGCUUCUGAGGGUGAAGGAGAUGAUGAUGCAAAACCCUACCCUACCUUCAGGCUCAAUUUAGGGUUCCUCCUAAGCCUCUAUAACCUCCUGAGCCUGUGAAGAAGAAAGGUACUUUAUGAGGAUGCUGUUUUGCCUUUUUCUCUACGGGCUCAUCAUUGUCGCAGUGUUUGAUGACAUCAAGAGAAUGUGUGACAGCAGAAGAUGAUCGGAGACGAGACUGGCUAGUUUUCCGGGAAGAGAAACAAAGACAAGUAAAGAAAGCAGCUCUCAGAACUCUUCGAAGGACUUCUCCUCUCCUUGGGACUAGACUUGCUUCUCUUGCACCCAUUUCUUUCUCUUUCUUGCUCGGUUUAUUCUGGUUUGGUUUGUUUUAGUUACUUUAGUAUUGGAGCUGAUGAUCUGUCUGCAAGCUGGAACUGCCGACUUGUGUCUAUAUAGGUGAAGCGUUGGAGAGACAAUACAAGACCGCGUGGAAAAUCUCAAGACGCGUUGUUGGCUCGUUCUUCGUUUCAUUGAAAUUCAUUUUCAUUUGUAAAUUGACAUAUUUUGGAUUUAUAUUUGUUGCAUAUAAGGGAAUAAUAUAGGUUUAGUUUU